rnacentral:rRNA from 1 species
UUCCGGUUGAUCCUGCCGGAGGCGACCGCUUUUGGAGUUCGAUUAAGCCAUGCGAGUCGAGAGCCUUAGGGGCUCGGCAUACUGCUCAGUAACACGUGGAUAACCUGCCCUAUUGUCUGGAAUAACCUCGGGAAACUGAGAACAAGGCCGGAUAACCCACAAUGCCUGGAACGGUUUGUGGGUGAAGAUAGGAUGGGUCUGCGGCGUAUCAGGUCGUAGGGGGUGUAAUGGACCUCCUAGCCAUCGACGCGUACGGGUGUUGGGAGACAUAGCCCGGAGAUGGAUUCUGAGACACGAAUCCAGACCCUACGGGGUGCAGCAGGCGCGAAAACUUCACACUGCAGGGAACUGUGAUGAGGGAACUCCAAGUGCAUGCACUAUGUGUAUGCUUUUCUUAACUAUUAAUCGGUAUUGGAAUAAGGGCUGGGAAAGACCGGUGCCAGCCGCCGCGGUAAUACCGGCAGCUCAAGUGGUCGUCGCUUUUAUUGGGCCUAAAACGUCCGUAGCCUGUUUGGUAAAUCUGUGGGUAAAUCAACCAGCUUAACUGGUUGAAUUCUGCAGAGACUGCCAGACUAGGGACCGGGAGAGGUGUGGGGUACUCUAGGGGUAGGGGUAAAAUCCUGUCAUCCUUAGAGGACCACCAGUUGCGAAGGCGCCACACUGGAACGGAUCCGACGGUCAGGGACGAAGCCUAGGGGCACGAACCGGAUUAGAUACCCGGGUAGUCCUAGGUGUAAACGCUGUGAACUUGGUGUCGGGGAUCCGUAAUGGGUUCUCGGUGCCGGAGUGAAGAUGUUAAGUUCACUGCCUGGGGAGUACGGUCGCAAGGCUGAAACUUAAAGGAAUUGGCGGGGGAGCACUGCAACGGGAGGAGCGUGCGGUUUAAUUGGAUUCAACGCCGGA